UGAGGAAUAUUGGUCAAUGGGCGCAAGCCUGAACCAGCCAUCCCGCGUGAAGGAAGAAGGCGCUAUGCGUUGUAAACUUCUUUUCCAGGGGGAGAAUUUUUCCGUCGUGACGGGAAUUGACGGUACUCUGGGAAUAAGCAUCGGCUAACUCCGUGCCAGCAGCCGCGGUAAUACGAGGGAUCCGACGUUAAUCGGGAUUUAUUGGGUUUAAAGGGUGCGUAGGCGGAUUGAUAAGUCAGUGGUGAAAGGCUGCAGCUUAACUGUAGACUUGCCGUUGAUACUGUCAGUCUUGAGUAUGGUCAAGGCAGGCGGAAUGUGUAAUGUAGCGGUGAAAUGCUUAGAUAUUACACAGAACACCGAUUGCGAAGGCGGCUUGCUGGGCCAUCACUGACGCUCAUGCACGAAAGCGUGGGGAUCGAACAG
rnacentral:rRNA from 1 species